AGCCGGAUAGCUCAGUCGGUAGAGGCGUUAGGCUUUUAACCUAACGGUCCAGAGGUUCGGAGAUCCCUGUUCGGGCG